UUUGACCUCCCUUUUAUUGAGUCACGUGAUCGAAGAAAACAUGGCUUCUUGAAUCGAGAUUUGUCAAUGUUUUGGUAAAAGUAGGAAUCCUACCAACUAACACUGGAUGUGAUUAACAGUCUUUAACUGAAUGAUUUGUAACUUAAAUUCCAUGUACCGUUAUAUACAUAGCUAGCUAAGUAACUGUUCUACUUUCGGUUGUUCGUAAUUCUCAGGAAGAUGAGUGUGCAGACAUCCGCGACACAAGUCGUAAGGCUAGCUAACGGUAGCUAGCUAAGCUAACUUACCAUCUAUAUUUGUUAUCAAGCACCAAAUUCAACCCAGCAACAUGCCUCCUCGGAAAAAGCGAGAGAACAGAUACGCUGAUGAUGGUCCCAGGAAACGAAGACGAGCAGUUGAUCAUGAAGAGGACAGAGUCGUCAUCUCAGACAGCGACGAGGAUGAAGACUUCAGACCAACAUCGUUAGAUGUUAAACGGGAGAAGGAGAGUAAAAUACGUUCUAACGAGAUGACUGAGGAAGAGAUGCUGGAUCUGGCCAUGAGGCUGAGUGAACAGGAGGCCAGCAACACUGCUCUCAGGCAACGACAGGAGGAGGAGACCAUGAGGAAGGCCAUCGCUGAAAGCCUCUACGCGGACAGACACACUCAUCCCCACUCAGAAUCUCUGCUGGUGGACGGGAGCCCUACCCAGAAAUGUCAACGUUCCCCUCCAGAGGCAGAAAGCAGCAUACAGCCCCCCAGGCGGAAGCUCUCUUACCCCAACCAUGGUGUGGCUGACAGGGAGGGAGCCCACGGUGUAGGUGUUAGUGUAGGGGUUUCUAACCCAGAAACCAGCAGGAGGGGGAAAAAAGAGGCUAGUCCAUUACUAGAUAUGCCUGACCUAUCUCAGACCCAGAAGGUCUACUCCCAGUCUUCUGCCCUCAGCCAAGCUUCCACCUCCAUGCCUCUCUCUUCACAGGAGGGGUCUUCUCUAAAGAACCCUUUCGGAAACCUCUCAGCCCACGUUGAAUCUCAGGAAUGCAAGUCCACAGAGAAUGAGUCCCAACUCAGGAAGAAGUCCCCUGUAUUCCCUCUCGCCACUACAGUCCCCUCAGCCAGCAAACUCAUCCUGUGCCUGCAUAAGCUCAGCCAGGACCUCCUAGAAGACUGUCAGGCCUCUGGGUUCCUACUAUGUUCUCAAGAGAGUCCUCCAAGCGUAACUCUUUCCACAAAGUCCCAGAUGUCUCAGUCUUUUCAGCCAAAGAGCCCUACAUUCUCCAAAAGCCCUGUUUUCUCCAGGACAGAGAGAACUGCAGGUGGGGAACCAGGCCAAGGGAGUCCCCCUAUGUUCUCGGAGUCUGAUUCAGGAAAGGAAGAAAAAGAGGCAAGUCCAACUUUUCCUAAAAGUGCCAUGUUCUCCAGUAGUGAUACAGGAGAAGAAGAGAAAGCGGCAAGUCCCACCUUUCCUGGAAGCCCAGUCUUCCCCAGAACUGAUCAGAUAAGGGACCAGGGUCCACAGAACUGUAUUGAAAGUGUCUCUACAUCAGAAGACCAAGAGGUCAGAGACAGAGAGGAUGUGAAGAGCAGCGAAUCCUCAAAGUGCCUUCCACCACGCCUCAGAACAACCCUGUCCCUGAACAAGAGACUCAUGCCUAUAAGGAAGACAGCUGGAGUUGCAGACAAAGUUGUUGACCAAGAGGAACGUCAGGGUGAAUCCUCGCAGAGCGCUGUAAACAGGAUUAGCACGCCUGCAAAGUUUGCUGCAGAAGAAGACCUUAAUUCAGAGGAACUUACAUUGGCUUUUGAGACUCAGCCAAUGCAGGAGUUAACCAGUAAUAUGGCGCUACGCUGGUCAGAUGACGACGAAGAGGAAGACGGUCCUGCAAAGUCGGCUCAGUUGCCCAGCCCAGUCUUCCCACAAGAGAAUGACCUCCCACAACCAAGCAACCAAUGUCUCUCCACAAACACCAACCACCACUGUUCCCCUCCACACAUACACAGCCCCUGCCUCGUCCCCAAGAAACGCACACACAUCUCUGAAGACUCCGCGUGCGAGGACGGAGAGAGCCAGUCCAAGCGCAUCCGGAAGAAGUUCACCUUCAAGGGCAUGUAUGGAUCUCCCUCCCCCUUUCUCCCCAGACAGGCUGCAGGUAGAGGGAGCCAGGAUGAGGCACAGGCCAGAUACCCCUCUUCCCACCAGCCCCAGGCCUCUUCCAGCCACCUCUCUCCCCCCACAGGCGGCCAGGGGGAUGGGGGAGUGGUGUGCUACUAUUGGGGCGUGCCUUUCUGUCCACGAGGGCAGGACCCAGAUGCCUACACGCAGGUGAUCAUGUCCCAGCUGGAGGUGUAUGAGAAGAGCCUGAAGGAAGCCCAGAGGGGUCUGCUGAGGAAGGCAGGCUGGGGGGAGCCUGUCCUUCCUGGGCCCCCAGAGAGACCUUUUUCCAGGAGGGGACGCCCCAAGAGACACAGGGCCCCAGAACUUCUGGAGGAAGAGGAGGAAGAAGUCCAGGGAGUGAGAAACCAGCAGGAAGAGGUCGUAGAGGUGGUAGAGGAUGAUGAAGAGGAGGGUGAGGAAAGGGAGUGGCGGCGGUCACAGGGAGGGAUGGAAGAGGGAGGGAGGAGAGGAAGACUGGAGUGGAAGGACUAUCAGUCACUGUUUGUGUCCACUCCUGAACAAGACGAAAAAUCGCCCUCACCUGUAUUUCAUGUAGAAUCCAAUCAACAACAAAUUCUACCUCGAAGGAGUCUUGGCCUUAGAAAAGAAGAGAGAAGACCAUCGCCACUGCCUGUCCCGCUGGAGAAGGAAAAGGAAGAAGAUGAAAAAGAGGGAGAGAAGAGGGAGGAGGAAGAAAUCAUGGGGGAGGAAGUGGUGGAUGUCGGUGGCUUAGAAGUUCCAGGUAUAAGAAAUGAUGAGACCCAACUCAGUGACGAUGGCACCCAAGACCUGAUGGUCACCAACCCUGCACGGCCCCAACCAGAGAGGCAGUCCCUGCCUCAGAUCCAGACUUUUCUCUCAUUACCCCAUCCUCUGGAGCAGCGUGUAGAGGGGAUGGAGGUGAAAGAGGAGAGGAGGAGUGGCCCUGUUAGGAGUCCUGCUAGAAGAGAGGAUGUGAGGGUGGAAAUGGAGGAGACUAGGGAGGUACAGGGUGGGGUCUCAGAACCUGCACCCCCUCAGAGCCCCAGCAUGGACUGUCCCAUGUGCAUGCGCCCCUUCCCCCUGACAGAGAUUGAGCUGCACGCUGCCUACUGUGACGGUAGUACCGCUAACAUAGAGGAAGAGGAGAUGAUGGCUCCGAGCCAAUCGCAAGUUACAGUGAAGUCUCAUAGGAAGAGGACCAGAAGGGGAGAAAGAAUUGGAGAGGAGCAGCCCUGUUCUUCUGGCUCUGGCAAGGCAGUGCAGGGAGAGAAGUGCUUCCUGUGUCAGCAGCUAUUUCAUCUCCGGGACUAUGAGAAGCACGUAGAGUACUGCAUCAGAAACCAAGAAGUGUCCAAGGCUGCAUCCAGGGCCGGAAAGCUGUCGUGAAGCACUCACCGUUGGUCUUCUGCUCUUUCUUCCCUCUGUGUGAUGGAUGAUCUUCCAGAGUGGAGACUUGCUGAGUGCUUUGGAACAGACAGAGCACAGAGAUUUAGGGACUGCUGAGGCCGGACCAUGUGAUGCUGCCUUCAGGAGCCAACACAGUGGCCUUAUUGAGGAUCUGGGAGAGUCUGGGGGAAGUGGAGACAUCGCCGUCUCAGGUUUCAGAGUGAGCACCUCGCCCAUCCGAUCCUUCACCUCCAUCUCAGAAGCCACAGACUGCCUUAUUGACUUCAAGCGCCAGUACUCUUCCUGUACUUCCUCCUCUUCCUCCUCUAGGCCCAGACAAAGAGGGAGGAAAUUCAAUAGGAAAUUCAAAUGUACUAAAAAAUAGAAAAUACUGUCAACUGCUUUUUUUAAUACCACUGCAUAUCUUUUCUUUGUAUUGUUUGUUACACUGAAUCAAGUGAUACAAAUGUGUGUUAAUGUGUGAUUAAAUAAUACAUCUAAAUGUU